rnacentral:lncRNA from 1 species
CUGAGGUUUGGUUUGGAUGGAGGCCAGUGAAUUCAGGGUGUAGAAUAGAAGCAACACACUGUGAUCAACAGGGCUUCCAUCCAGAACAAGGUAAGACUUCAGAUCGCAGAGCUCCAGGAGCCAAAUCAAGGAGCAGCCAUCACAGGGCCAUCAUGGAGCUUGGUGAUCAUCCAAUGAAGGUACAUGAGCAGCUUUGGAGAGCUGGCUUCUAAAUCUUCAAGAGCCCAGGGAUACUUCCUGAUGACCUCUUGCUGUGGAGACAGUCCCUGUAGACAGCUUGAACAUCUGGAAGUUCACAGUUCAUGUACUGUUGAAGUCAGAAGUACUUGUAAGUUCAAGUCUUUGAUCCUAGCCAACCAGGAUGGCAGCUCCUUCAUGGUGAAAACAACUUCUGUAGAGAGUUCUCUGACAAAGGUUAGAUUUCAGUGGAAGAUUUAAAAAAUCACAAAUGCGGAGAAGGAAAUGGCAACCCACUCCAGUAUUCUUGCCUGGAGAAUCCCGUGGACAGAGAAGCCUGGCAGGCUACAGUCCAUGCGGUCGCAAGAGUCCGACACAACUGAGCAGCUAAACCACCACCACCACAUGCUAAAUAUUAGUAAGUGCAUAUGAAUAUGCUAACAAAUGAUCAUCAUUCAAUAUUAUCUUUUAAAAAAUAAAAAAUCACAAAUGUUUUUGGUCUUCCA